GUGAUUACGGUUGAUUUUAAAGACUAUUUUAUGAUUCUGAAAAAAAAGACCUGAUACGACUCCUGUAUCAGGUCUAGGGAAAUGGCUCUUGGGAGAGAGCCGUGCGCUAAAAGUUGGCAUUAAUGCAGGCUUGGAAUGCCUUGCUAUUUAAUAGUAGUCGACGAUGCUUUUUUUUCCAGUUUUGAGCAAAUCGUGCGGUUAAGCGCGAUAACUGAAAAUGUUAAUGUCUUAAUUGCUAUCGAUA
rnacentral:sRNA from 1 species